GACGAACGCUGGCGGCGUGCCUAACACAUGCAAGUCGAACGGAGAUUAUAGCAAUGUAAUCUUAGUGGCGGACGGGUGAGUAACGCGUGGGCAACCUACCUCUAACCGGGGGGAUAACACAGGGAAACUUGUGCUAAUACCGCAUAAGAUCAUAGGAGGACAUCCUCUAGUGAUCAAAGGAGAAAUCCAGUGAGAGAUGGGCCCGCGUCCGAUUAGCUAGUUGGUGAGAUAACAGCUCACCAAGGCAACGAUGGGUAGCCGAACUGAGAGGUUGAUCGGCCACACUGGAACUGAGACACGGUCCAGACACCUACGGGUGGCAGCAGUAGGGAAUAUUGGGCAAUGGGCGAAAGCCUGACCCAGCCAUGCCGCGUGAGUGAUGAAGGUCCUAGAGAUUGUAAAACUCUUUUCUGAGGAAAGAAUAAAUAGGGAAGGAAAUGUCCUUAUUUUGUACGGUACCUCAGGAAUAAGGAACGGCUAACUCCGUGCCAGCAGCCGAC
rnacentral:rRNA from 1 species